UUUGAUUUCUUUCGCGCCUCAAACCAAUUCCAUUUACAUCCCUCUCAUUCGCUGCAUCGCUUCCAUUUCCAUAGCCACACGCUUCGCGCUCUUUUGCAUUUUCUUAAAGUCGCCCAGAUAAGUUCGGAAUUACGUAAUUAAGCGGCAGCAGAGACAACAACACCAACAUGACCAACAAGCUAACAAUUAAGUAUUUAUUGCUUUCAAUUUGCUGCCCGAUAACAAAAGAAGCCAAAAAAACAAAAAGGAAAACGAGAGACUGGAAAAAACAACCAGAACAAAGUAAAUAAAAACCGAAACGGACACACACACACACACGCACACCGCUACCUGCGUCGACAGCGGCAGCGAAAUCAGCGCCAUGCUUCAAUUUUAUUCCGUUUGAAUUUGAAGAUGUUUUUAGUGCACUGCCAUUAAGUCCUUAGCACGCGCUUUUAUUUCGCUUCGUUUCAAUGUGCAGGUGGGAAUAACAAAAAGCGGUGGAUGGGAGUGACAACGAAAUCGAAACUUUGCAACAAAAUUGCAUUUGGCAGAGCAGCGGCGGAGCGCGCGGAGAGCACAGUGCCAACAAAUACUCGGCCUUCAAACCCUUCAUGGAGUAACGCAUAUCAACGGAUUGAUUCUGAUGGCGUGGAUUGUCGGGGAUUAUCCAACGUCUUAAAGACAAAAUCUUACAAAUCGCAGUAUUUACCUGGCAAACGUGUUAAUC